rnacentral:rRNA from 1 species
GAUGAACGCUGGCGGCGUGCCUAAUACAUGCAAGUCGAGCGAACGGACGAGAAGCUUGCUUCUCUGAUGUUAGCGGCGGACGGGUGAGUAACACGUGGAUAACCUACCUAUAAGACUGGGAUAACUUCGGGAAACCGGAGCUAAUACCGGAUGAUAUUUUGAACCGCAUGGUUCAAAAGUGAAAGACGGUCUUGCUGUCACUUAUAGAUGGAUCCGCGCUGCAUUAGCUAGUUGGUAAGGUAACGGCUUACCAAGGCAACGAUGCAUAGCCGACCUGAGAGGGUGAUCGGCCACACUGGAACUGAGACACGGUCCAGACUCCUGCGGGAGGCAGCAGUAGGGAAUCUUACGCAAUGGGCGAAAGCCUGACGGAGCAACGCCGCGUGAGUGAUGAAGGUCUUCGGAUCGUAAAACUCUGUUAUUAGGGAAGAACAUAUGUGUAAGUAACUGUGCACAUCUUGACGGUACCUAAUCAGAAAGCCACGGCUAACUACGUG